rnacentral:rRNA from 1 species
UACAGAGGGGGCAAGCGUUAUUCGGAAUUAUUGGGCGUAAAGGGCGCGUAGGCGGCUUGGCAAGUGGAAGGUGAAAUCCCUCGGCUUAACCGAGGAACUGCCUUCCAGACUGUUAGGCUUGAGACCGGGAGAGGUGAGUGGAAUUCCCAGUGUAGCGGUGAAAUGCGUAGAUAUUGGGAGGAACACCAGUGGCGAAGGCGGCUCACUGGACCGGUACUGACGCUGAGGCGCGAAAGCUAGGGGAGCAAACGGG